rnacentral:rRNA from 1 species
CCUACGGGUGACUGCAGUGGGGGAUAUUGGACAAUGGGGGAAACCCUGAUCCAGCGACGCCGCGUGAGUGAAGAAGUAUUUCGGUAUGUAAAGUUCUUUCAGCAGGGAAGAAAGACAUGACGGUACCUGACCAAGAAGCCCAGGCUAACUACGUGCCAGCAGCCGCGGUAAUACGUAGGGGGCAAGCGUUAUACGGAAUUACUGGGUGGAAAGGGAGCGUAGACGGUGAUGCAAGUCUGGAGUGAAAGGCGGGGGCCCAACCCCCGGACUGCUCUGGAAACGGUGUAACUUGAGUGCAGGAGAGGGAAGCAGAAUUCCUAGUGUAGCGGUGAAAUGCGUAGAUAUUAGGAGGAACACCAGUGGCGAAGGCGGCUUACUGGACUGUAACUGACGUUGAGGCUCGAAAGCGUGGGGAGCAAACAGGAUUAGAUACCCUGGUAGUC